UGGGGAAUAUUGGACAAUGGGGGGAACCCUGAUCCAGCCAUGCCGCGUGUGUGAAGAAGGCCUUAUGGUUGUAAAGCACUUUAAGCGAGGAGGAGGGUACUGGUAUUAAUACUACCAGGUACUGGACGUUACUCGCAGAAUAAGCACCGGCUAACUCUGUGCCAGCAGCCGCGGUAAUACAGAGGGUGCGAGCGUUAAUCGGAUUUACUGGGCGUAAAGCGUGCGUAGGCGGCUAAUUGAGUCGGAUGUGAAAUCCCCGAGCUUAACUUGGGAAUUGCAUUCGAUACUGGUUAGCCAGAGUGUGGGAGAGGAUGGUAGAAUUCCAGGUGUAGCGGUGAAAUGCGUAGAGAUCUGGAGGAAUACCGAUGGCGAAGGCAGCCAUCUGGCCUAACACUGACGCUGAGGUACGAAAGCAUGGGGAGCAAACAGG
rnacentral:rRNA from 1 species